UCCUUCAAGCUCAGACGACUGUCUUGUCCUCUCUCACUUGCAUUCUCGAAGGUGAGACUUGCUAAUUUUAAAAAAUCUCACAGAUUUCUUCUCACAAUACUGUGAUUUCAGGUGUCGUGUCCAUAUCUGAGUAGCUUUAAUUCCCGACCUAGUUUGGGUACUCUAAAGCAUACCAAUGAACUGCUGUUAACAGAUGAUUUUAGGCCUUCGAUUUUGGGCCUUUGUCUUUGUCAAUCAUCUUUAUCUGCGCCUUUUGUGUUCUGGGAUUAACUGUUUUAUGCAAAUUUCCCCCUCUAUUUCCCGGGUUAUUCUCUUGUUAUUGUUGUUAUUGAUAUGUGAUGUGAAGCUUUUAUUUUUAUAUAUAUCCCUUUGUUAUAUGCAGAUGAAUAGGGAGAGACUUAUGAAGAUGGCUGGUGCCGUUCGCACUGGUGGGAAGGGCAGCAUGAGAAGGUGGGAUGUGUAUUUCAACUUCUAACUAUCAAAUUUAUCUCAUACGAUAUGCCUAUAUCAAGUAUUUAUCAAUUGGGUACUAUUGAAAUUUUCUUAUGAGUGGUUUGGCUCUGGCUACAAUGAGUUUCUGGCAGUACUUGGUUGCAAAUAUUCUUUUAAAGCUUUGUUCUUUACCACAGAAAGAAGAAGGCUGUACACAAGACUACCACUACGGAUGAUAAAAGGCUUCAGAGUACACUGAAGAGAAUAGGAGUGAAUGCUAUUCCUGCAAUUGAGGAGGUCAACAUAUUCAAGGAUGACACAGUUAUUCAGUUUGUGAACCCCAAAGGUGAAGGCUGCUUAUGCUCGUGGAUUGAUUUAUUUACAUCUUUUAAGCUGGUCAUAGUAAACAAGCUUUAUAAUUUUUUUUUUAAAUUUCAGUUCAAGCAUCAAUUGCUGCCAAUACAUGGGUUGUUAGCGGCUCUCCGCAGACUAAGAGUAUGGCUCUAAUUCUCCCCAUCACUUGUAGGCGUUACAUAACUUUUUUUUCCAAUACUUGGAUUUUCUAGGGUUUUGUUUUCAAUGUCAUGCUUGUGGUUGUGGCUUGCCCCUGAGACUAAGAAGGUUGAUAGUAUUAUGUGAAGAAUGGCCGAAGAGGCCAAGAUGAAGUAACAAAAAUUAUAAAUAAGAAUGUUAUCAAAGGUGACUUUAAGACACUGCUGAAUUUUUUGUGAAAUAAUAGAAAAGCUUAAAAAUUAUGAACUUUAGGAUAUUGUGCGCCUGUAGUUGAUUAAAGAUGCUUCAAAGCUGAAAAGAGCUAUGGUACUUGGACUUGGAUAUGGAUGUCAUAAAUGGGUGCAUAUUAUGGUGAUGUGAAUCUAAGAUUAGACAUGGUGCUUUGAUACUUUAUAUUAUAUAAUAUAAAUUAGAAUAAAAAAUGUGAAGUUAUAUAGUGAUAAUUAUAGUCUAAAUAGAUGAUCAAAUAUAAAAUACAAUUGAAGAACUAUUUUUUUGCAAAUACAUGCACUUAAUCUUGAGAGAGAAGAAUGCUCCAUUAACUAUGCCUGAAUAUGUCACUCAAGUGUUCAAGUGCCUGAAUAUGUGUUAGACAUAUAUUUGAUGUUGUAUCCCAUGAAGUGUCAUGUUGACACGGGUAUGGCAUGAUAAAAUAAAGAAUUGGAGUAUCAAAAGAAAGGAUUCAUGGAGCUAGGCACGUAAGAUGUAAGAUGCACAGUUAAUAAAAUAAGACACCUUAUAUAAUAGAACUGUGCAUAUUAAUAGCAUAAAAGAAUUGGAAUCACCAUUUUUCCUUUUGACUAAAAUAAACUACAUAAAAUUUAGGGUAAAUUACACUUUAGUUUCUGAGUUCUAGUGUAAUUAAAGGAUUGGUUCUUGUAUUUUUAAAAUCGAACACUUAAAUUCCUACAUAAUCAAUCUGUCUAAAUGUGAGGUCCUUGCAUUUAUAAUUCCGUUAGUCAACAUAUCAAAAGGAGAAUAAACAUUUUAAAUAUCUAAAAUAUCCUCAUGAACACUUAAAUCCUUGCCAAUGUGAGUGAAAUAUUUUAUAUUGUGUAAAUUGCACUUUAGUCUCUGAGUUUUGGCAUAAUUAACAUAUUAGUCUUUGUAUUUUUAAAACUGAAUCUUUAAAUUCUCUAUGUUCAGUUCAUGCAAAAUUGUAGAUCUUUCAUCCAUUAUAGACAUUAUUUUAAGGUUAGUGGGUGGUCUCUAAAAUACUUGUAAAAAUCUACAACUAUUUAAAGGUUAUUUAGUACUACUUAAAAAUGACUGAAAUUGUAAAUAUUUUUUUGAAGGUUUUAAAAUUAUCAAAAGUACUGGAGUAUUUCAAUGAUCGAAAGUUGAAGAAAAAUAAGUGUUAAAAAUUAGUUGAAUAUGAUAAUCUGGAUAAAAGCUAAUAGGGACUUAAGCUUUUUUGUAAAUAAAAAAUAAAGGAUCAAAAUGUAUAAGUUUUAAUAGAUCAGGGAAAAUGGAUGAAAUGUUAACUCCUUAAUAUUUUUAAUUUAAAAAGGAGAUAAUAAAGAUAUUUUUAUACUUUUAAUUGCAAGAAAUGGAUGAAAAUAUUAGAAUCUAAACAGACUGAUUAUAAAAGGAUUUAAGUGUUUGGUUUUAAAAAUGUGGAGACUGAUCCGUUAAUUAUAUUAAAAUUCAAGGACUAAUGUGUAAUUUUUCAUUUUAAAAGGGUAAUAAAGACAUUUCUACAUUUUUAACGGCAAAAAUGGAUAGAAUGAUCUCCUAUUUGGACGGACUAAUUAUAGUGAGAUUUAAGUGUUUGGUUUAAAAAAUAUAGGGAUCGAUUUGUUAAUUAUGCUAAAAUUCAAGGACUAAAGUGUAAUUUACCCUAAAACUCAAGUCUAAUAAACAAACUACAUGAUUAUCAAUUCAUGCAAGUUAGUUUAAUGGGCAGCAGAUUCAUUAAAGAAAAAGGCAAAAGAAAAAAGGAAAUGCAGGGAUUAGGAGGCAGCAUGGGUAGAAUGAAGCAAAGGAAGUGAGGAAAGUUGUAGAAUAGACGCUAGAAAGAAGGGAAAAAAGGGACCAAUUGAGAAGCAGCUGUGGCAGAUUGAAGAAAAGGGAGUGAAUGAAAGAGUACGAUAGUAAGCUUAUAAAAGAAAAAGAUCCCAGAAAAUGAAUCUUUUAUGCAUUUUUUUUAUUUCAAUUAAUUGCUGUGCAUGAUGUGAUGGAUUAUAUAAUUUUAAUCUCCUUAAUUACUUUUUACUACUUAUUCUUUGUGUUCCUUGAAUGUUCUCUUUUGGCCUGCCUUUUCCUUUCUUCCUUGUGCAGCCAUUCCUAUUUUCCUUUUUCCAGUUUUCUUCUUGAACUGGAGUCCCAUUGAAGGCUAUUAAGAUAUUCAAAUCCUAACCAAUAAAUUUUGGCACCUGUUUUUUAAUGUAUUUCCAAAAAUCCAUAAAUUGUAUUAACAUAUCUGAUUGCUGAAAUUGGAGAAAACACAACCAAAUUACUUUUGAUGUCCCCAAUAUGAAAUCUAGACCAGAAUUCUAAAUUUUUCAGGUCUUCUGAAUGUUGAAAUUGCAGAAAUACAGUACCAAAAUGCUCUAUGAUAUCUCUAAUAUGAAAUCUAGACUACAUUUUUAAUUAACCAUUCCUCUUGCUCAGACCCAUGUGUACAAUUGAGCUUUUACAUUGCAUGAGAACUAACGAGUUUUCAUUUUCUUUUUCUUCAGAAUUGCAAGAUAUUCUCCCUCAAGUACUAAGCCAUUUGGGUAUGCAAAUUCCAAUGUGCUGCAUGGUAGUUUAGUUAAAUUUGGAGUUUGUAUUUGACCAUAUUCUACUAACUCGAUUUUAUUUUUUAAAUCUGCUAUUGUAAAGGUCCUGAUAAUUUGGACAACUUGAAGAAGUUGGCGGAGCAGAUCCAGAAGCAGGUACCUAGUGAUGGUGCUCCAGCAACUGCAGCACAAGAGGAUGAUGAUGAGGUCCCAGAGCUUGUAGCUGGGGAGACUUUUGAAGCUGCUGCAGAGGAGAGUAACGCUAACCCUGCUUCUUAGGAAAUAUAGACAGGGAGUUUGUGCUAUUUUAUACACUUCCCACCUUUUUGUUUUCCUUUUUUCCCAAGUUCUUGGUUUUGUAGGUUAUAACUCGAUCAUUCAUCUUAUUUUCUAGAGACACUGGAUGGUUGUUCAGAUCCGCUUCAUACUUUCUGAGCAAUUUCUGAUUGGCUCAGUAUUUACCAUUUUAAUUGCAAUUUUUAAAUAGUUGUAGACCUUAAAUCUGUUCUUCCCUCUCUAAGCCACCGAGACAUGUGUAGUAAUUUGGACAAAAGCAAAACAGAGCGUAAUAUGGUUGGAUUUGAGCUUGAAUUGGCCAUGAACUAGUGUCGUUCUGUAUUUUUUAAUUCUUUGCUUAAGCUGAGUCUUGUAAUAAUAAAAUGGGAUAUCCGCAUUAAAAAUUUAAAUCUUUGCUGAUUUUUGCGUCCUAAUCCAAUUUUUUAUUUUUGAUACAAAAUGGUGUAUAUUGAAAAAUAAUUGAUUUAUUUUUAUUAUUUUAAUUUGUUGAUUUAAAAAAUUAAAUCAAAUUGAAAAAAUAAAAAUAUUUAAAUAAAUACACAUGAUAUGAUACAUAUGAUAUGCGAUAUCAACUACUAGUACAUACUCCUCUAUUUGAAAUUUAAAAUUAGAUAAAAUUAUUAAAAUGUUUAAAUUUUGAUUUACUGUGCUAGAAAAUAAAAUUUUGGAUUAAAAUGUAAAAAUUUGCAAAUAUUUAUAUUUUAAUGUUAAUAUUCCUAAUAAAAUAAUACAAAAAAUGAAAUUUUAUUGUACCUAUUUAAAAAUUAUGUAAAUAUUUAAUAAUUCAGGACGUCCACUUGCACUCUCGAGUUUCUUAUAUGCUCUCGAUUAAGAUUCAACUAGUAACGACACUGCACAAGCUUAGCACUUUACCAACGUCAAAUGUCACGCCCUUUGCAAGUACAUGGUCCAUCUUGGACUUGUGGGAGCUCCUAGGAGGUGUGUCAUGGAAAGUAUGAACAUCAUGACCAACACUCUUUACUUUUAGUUCUACAUAGCGCAUUGCAAGUCCGACACAUUACAUAUUCAACAACGUGUGUGGAUGUAAUUGAAUUGAAUUUUAAAGAUUUUGAAGUUUAAUUGGUUUUUUUUUCGCAAGCACAAACUCAGUUUGUUUUUAUUUUGUUAUAAAUUCGUGAUGGGCUGAAUUUAUGGAGUUUUUAAUCUCACCUUAUAUUUAGCUUGUUUACAAAGCUUGUAAAUUCAAAUUUGAAUCAUCAAAUUAAUGAAUAUAGAAAAUGAAAAAUUAAUUGAAUCAGUAAUCAUAAUGGUAAAAUUAAUAAAAUUAUACAAUUUUAAUUAAGAUAUAUUGAAUAUAAAAAGUUAUACGUUUUAUACAUUUCAUAUUUAUAUUUUAUAUUUUUUUUACAAAGCUAAAAUUUUAAAAUUAUUCAUGAUAUUAGCCAACAGAGUAAUAUAAAUUUAAAAAAAAAUUAAUGGUAAAAAAAUAUGACUUUUGAAGUUUUAUUUUUUAUUAAUAAAAAUAAUUUUUUAAAAUUAGAAUCUCAUGUAAAAUCAAAAUCAACAUAUCAAUAAAAGAGAUCCAGUUAGAUAAAGAUAAAAAAAUAUAAUUCGAUACUACAUUAACGGAGAAAACAAAGGUUCGACUAAUAGAGUUACUAAAGAAUCAAGUAACCACUUUCAUUUGGUCUCCAAAAGAUGUAAUAUGUGUGAACCUGACUCUCAUCACCCAUAAGUUAUUUAUUGACAAGAUCGCUGAACCAGUCUAAUAAAAAAAAAAGAAAGUUUGCACCAAAAAGACAAUAGGUAAUCAAAAAAGAGGUUAGUAAAUUUUUGAGUGCAGGGUUGAUAAAGGAAGUCCAGUAUCCCACGUAACUAGUCAAUGCGGUCCUAGUAAAUAAAGUUAACGAGAAAUAGAGGAUGUGCAUGGAUUUCACAGACUUGAAUAAAACAUUUCCAAAAGAUCAUUACUCGUUGCCGUCCAUCGACAGAUUAGUAAACUCGACCUCGAGUUAUGCAAUAGUUUCCUUCCUCGAUGCUAUUUAAGGAUACCACCAAAUCAUGGACAUAGAUGAUGCAGAGAAAAUUGUGUUAAUGAUAGAUGAAGGAGUUUACUGCUACAAAAUAAUGCCUUUUGGAUUGAAAAAUGUGCGACUAAAGGCUGGUGUCAGGAAUCUUCAAAGACAUGGUGGGAUCAAUAGUCGAAGUGUACGUAGAUGACAUGGAAGUAAAUAGUCGAUCCUUAGAAUAUCAUCCAGAAGAUAUUUGUAAAGUUUCUGAUGUCCUGGACAUGGCGGGUAUGAAGUUGAACCCUGAAAAGUGUACCUUUGGGGUAAAGACUGGGAAGUUUCUAGGGUAUAUCAUCUCAGAAUGAGGUAUAGAAGCGAACCCUGAGAAGAUCAGUGCCAUCCAAAAUAUGGAAGCACCCAAAACCAUCAAUGAAGUACAGAGGUUAAAUAGGCGAGUCAUUGUCUUGGGUGAUUCAUAUCAUGUUCGGUCAGAAGGUGCCUCCCAUUCUUCAAGGCCUUAAAAAGCAAAGGUAAGUUUGAAUGGGGAGGAAGAAUGUGCAGAGGCUUUUGAAAGUCUGAAAAACUUUUAUCAUCUCCUUCAUUGCUAAGCCUACCUGUCAAAAGCAAAGUUUUAUUUUUAUACUUAUUUGUGACGCAAAAAAUAGUUUGCUCAAUGCUUGUUCACGAAAACAAUGGGAAUAAAGCCUAAUAUAUUAUGCCAGCAAAGUUUUGAAGGGGGCAGACUGAAUUAUCAUUCUUUCAAAAAGUUAGUAUUUGCAGUCCUAAUGUUAGCCACAAAACUACGACCAUACUUCAAGUCACACACCAUAGAAGUCAAAGCCGAUUAUCCUCUGCGAAAGGUUCUACACAGACCGGAGCUGUCAAGGUGGUUGUCUACCUGGGCGGUAAUAUUGUCAGUCUAUGAUAUCAGGUAUGUUCCAAGAAAGGUCAUGAAAGCCCAGGUGCUAGCCAAUUUUGUCAGGGAAAUGACUCCGCCAUUAGAACCUUUGGAGUCCCCUGAAUCAAUCAUAGAGGAGGGGAAGGUUUGGGCAGAUGGAGCUUAUGGAGCCAAAGGUUCCGUAAUUGAGAUCCUGUUGCAAUUUCAAACCAAUAUAAAGUUUCGAUAUGCAACAAAGCUCGCCUUCAAUACCACCAACAAUAUAGCCGAAUAUGAGGCUAUAAUAAUGGCCAUGAGAAUCAUCAAGGAAUUAGGUAUAAAAAAUCUAUUAUUUUUAGUGACUCACGACUGAUUAUUAAUUAGUGUCAAGGACAAUUCAAAGUUCGAGAACUGAAUCUUGUCAAAUACAAGAAAAAGGUUCAGAGGCAGCUGCGAACUUUAUUAGGUGGCCAGAGACAACAAUGAAAAGGAAAAUCUUCUAACCAAGAUGACGACAGCAGAUGAAUAGCAUUUGACUUAACUGUUUCACUUUAAGGAAUUGCACACUCCAGCAAUGGAAGUGGAAGAGUCUUAUCCCAUAGAAGAGGGAAAAUCAUGGAUGAUACACAUCUAUAAAUUUCUGACACAAGAUAAUCUUCCAGCCGACUAGUUAUUUGCUAAACAAGUAACAAGGAAGUCUUUUAAAUACGUACUAAUUGAUGGUUGGUUGUACAGGAGGUCCUCCAUGCAGCUAUAGCUGCGAUGUUUUACAGAGGAGGAAGGCCAAGAAAUCCUAAAGGAUAUCCAUGAAGGUGAUUAUGGAAGGCAUGAGGGAGCUUGAACAAUCGCCCAAAAAGCAUUCAGACAAGGGUACUAUUGGCCAAAGGUAAUGCAAGAUGUAAGGCAACUUGUCUAUAAGUGUCGAAGAUGCCAAGUACACACAAACAUUCCAAGGACCUUGGGAGAAAUGCAAGCAACCAUUGGAAGCCUUUGGCGCCUUUUUUUCAGUGGGGGAUAGACAUCCUUGGCCUGUUCCUUAAGGCAUCCAGGUCAAGGAAGUUUGUAAUCAUGGCAGUAAACCAUUUCAGCAAAUGGGCAAAAGUUGAGACAGUACAAUCCAUCACCACCCAGUAAGCAAUUUAAUUUGUCAGCAAAAAUAUAAUCACUCGAUUGGGGAUACCAAAGAUAGUGAUCACCGAUAAUGGGACUCAGUUUGCAAGCUCUAGGUUUAAAGACUUCUACAAGAAAUAGAAAAUUGACUUGAGGUUCAGCUCAGACAAUCAUCACUAGACUAAUGGAAUGACUAAGGUUACAAACAAAACCAUCCUAUAGAGACUAAAGAAAAGGCUCGACCAAGUCAAGGGCAACUGGCUUGAAAAGUUACUUCACAUACUAUGAGCAUACAGGACCACUUCUAGAACAGCUAUAGGAGAAACAUCAUUUUCUCUUGCAUAUAGGGCCGAGGCAGUCAUCCUCAUAGAAAGUCCAAGUAAGUAGCUUCAAUACACAACACCCUAAGAUUUUUGGAAAAUCCAAAGAGAUGUAAUUCAAUUUGGACCAAGCUGAGUUCCUACGAGAAAGGCCGCAAUUAAAAUAGCGAUUUACAAAAAUAAAAUGUCCAGAAUGUUGAACAGUAAGAUCAUGCCACAACCUUUUAAAGUGGAAGUCCUCAAAAGAACAAAUGUAAUAAGUGGCAAUAUCGGGCCUGGUAAGUUGGGUGAGAACUGGAAAGGAUCGUUUAGGAUCUCAAAGUUUAUUCGUUUAGGAUCAUAUAAGCUAGCCAAGUUAAAUGUUCAAAUCAUUCCCCAUGCCUGGAAUAUCUGUAAUCUGAGCAUGUUGUGUUGUUCAGUGAUAAGAAACGAUGUGAUUGCCUUCCUGAAAAUGAUUAAGAAGACGAGAAGAGGCUACGAGGCGAGUGUCGCCAGGCCAAGUCACAAAGCGGGUGUCCCCAGGCCAAGUCACAAAGCAGGUUUCUCCAGACCAUUCGGGUGUUGGUCCCACUAAACUAGGCCACAAGGUAGGUUCUGCCAAGCCAGGUCACAAGACAAGUUUCGCCAGACUGUUUGGACAUUAGUCUCACUAAACAGGACCACAAGGCGAUUUCUGCCAGGCUAGGUGAUACGGAUAAGGAAAUAAUACGAUACUUCAAAAAUUUAAAAAGGGAAACUCCAAAUCAUGACAAAUCAAGUUACUAUCGCUUAAUUCAAGGCUUACGAGAUGAGAACUAUAUUUGGGAAGCAUGGGAGAAGAAGGAAACAAAUCAGACUCUCUUCAACACAUGUGGACGCACAACACAAUUUCAGAUCGCGUAAUGCAUGUAUGACCAAAUUGCAUUUAGGCCAGUUUUAUUAUUUUAGUAUUUUAGUAUUUUGUGGGAUUUGUUUUAAAUUAAUUUGACCUAUAUUAGAAGCCAAAUUCGUGCAGCCCAUUUAGGAAGGAGAUUUCUCCAAGAUAAUUUAGGAAAAUGAUCUUUAAUGUAAUCCAGAUUUGACUAUUUGACUAGAUACCCUUCCUAUAUUGUAAUUACACCUUCCUACAAUAGAAUUAGGGUUUGAAGGCUAUAAAAACAACCUUAAGGUGGCAGCCACGAGAAGGCAGUGAAUAAAAAUGAUUUUUUGAACAAUAUUUGGUUCUUCUCCAUUAUUUGGUAACUUAUCAAGGUUUAACCUUGUGGCGUUCUGAUAUGGAUUUCCUCCAUGCUUAGUUAACUUAUCAAGAAUUUCUUGUGGCGUUCUCGAAGCUGGAAUCGCUUGAUUAUCUAUGUUUCUAAUCACAUGGUUGGUUAGGGGUGUGGUAGAGUAACCUUCGCUUGAUUAUCCAUGUUUCUAAUCACAUUCGUUGGUUAGGGGUGUGGUAGAGCAACCUUCUGGAAGAUAUCUUUGUCUUGUUCUUUAUCAAGUUGUGUGACGGGGUUUUUUAUCACAAGUUGGUCCUGAGUUCCGCAUCACUAGGUCACAAAAUGGAUUCUGCCAGACCACUCGGGCAUUGAUCCUACUAAAUGACUCCAAAAGGCGAGUUUUGUCAGGCUAGGUUAUAAGGUGGAUUUCACCAAACCAUUCAGGCAUCGGUCCCAGUAAAUAAAGCCACAAGGUAAGUUCUGCCAUGCCACAAUCCAAACAUUGUUCCCUAUAAACAGUUGAUCUAUGCCAGACAUCCACAAGGUGGGUAUAACAAUCCCCAAGAGAUGAAGGUGUCAACCAAAGAUUAACGUUAAUAAGGCAAGUCUUAUGACCAAGUAUCAAGACGAGUAACCGAUUGAAAGUGCCUUAUUGCAAAAUUUUGUCAAUGCGUUGGAAAAGCGAGAGUCUGCUAGGCCACAGGCACGAGUAUUAAUCUCGUUUUGCAAAAGUUCUCUAAAUUAUUUUAUAUCUGUUAAGUCCUACAAAGUAAGUGCACUUUAGGUCCCUUCAUUGGGCAGAAAAGGGUGGCCAUUAGAUUCCAUAGUUUGGAUAAAAGAUAGCCCCUUGGCCAAUUGUUCAAAUUAUUGAUAAGUGACAAAGGGAACAAACAAACGCUUAAGGGUAGAUAUACAAAAUAUAUAUUACAAAAGUUAACAAGGGGAUAAGGUGGGCUUCGGCAAGUCUCUAUUACAUCAAAAUAUUUUAAAAAUCUAUCAACAGAGACCCAGUUGGCAGGGUUAUCUCCAACCUCUCGACCUUAUCCUUUAGGAAGAUGUCAUAUGUCCAGAACAAGCCACAUAAAGAACCCCUUCUCUAAUUGCUUUUUUGGCCUAGCCCUUGGAAUCAAUCUUGCACAAUCCAACUCCCUUUGUGAGAUCGUGACACUAAAAAGCCAUUAUAGUAGGAUUGAUUGCAGUCCUCAGAGCUAAAUAGUAUACUUGUACCUUCAUGAAGACUCGACUUUAGUUGCUCUUCAAAGAUCAUGAUAAUAUCCUCCGCACAAAUCAGGCUACUCUCAGGAAAAGAAAAGAAAAUACCCCCAUUCAUGUCUCCCACAGAUGCCAGUCAUAAAUAAAAAGAAGAGAAAGGAGGGUUAUUAUACCGUGGCAUAGCCGACAAAACUUUAAAUAUGCCUCAAAAAAUAAGGCAACUAUCGUGACCAAGGGAAGACAAAAUGAUGUAAGUAGUAAAGGCCAAUCAAAUUAUCGAAAAGACAAACCGUCACUUUUGAAUCUGAAGAACUGAAGACCAGUGAGGGACUACUGAUGCUACAUAACAAUCGCCCAAAAUAAGCCAUGAGUUGUUGCCAUAGAAUAGGUCCAUGUGGCAAGGAUUGAAAAGUAAGCAACAUGGUUCAGCCCGAGAAAAGGAAGGCCCAGACACCUUAGCACCUGGUUGAUCAUUAAGACUCACCCUUCCCUCGAUAGGGCAUGUCUCGGCGCAAAGUUACCGUUAUGAGACACAAUUUAGUGUAUCAUCAUUACGCAUAUAAUCAUAGGAUUACCAACCCAUUAGCUGACGAUAUUCCUUAACAAACAGCCAACUACAUCAUUGCCGGAUUAUCAAAAAAUGCUAUAUUCAUCUCCACUUACUUAUAUAGUAUAAAAGAAGAAAAAUCAUAGAGGUAAAGGUACGCUGUUUUUUGACGCAAAAACUCUAAGAAAUUUACUAUAUUCACUAUCUUCUCCAGUAUUUUGACUUGAGUGUUAGAGUAACUGCCCUAAGCACCCAUCACUAUCUCAUAUUCUCUUCUUUGUAUGUGUAGUCAAUCACAACGUAACUCCAUUCUGGUCACGUCAUCGAUUUAGACUUUGAAACAUCACUAACUAGUUAGAUAAAUAAAUAGACUAAUGCUUAAUGGUUUGAAAACAUAGGGACUCAUUAAUUUGUUUUUGAAAAUAAAGAGAUCAAAUAAUUAGUUUUAUUUAACUACACAGAUCAAAUAGUAAUUGCUGCUAUAAACAAACUAUUUUGCUGAACGACAGAGUUUUAACGGAAAACCACAUCGUUUCGAUUUUGGGGGUUACAGACGAGCCCUAAAAUACAUGUCCCGAUGUGCAGCUGCUCUUUUCCCCUUUCUUUCUCGGCUCUACCCUCGACCCUUUUUCUAUUUGUCCCCCAACUCAUCUCUUAUCCUCCUUCGAGCUCAGACGACUGUCUUGCCCUCUCUCACUUGCAUUCUCGAAGGUGAGACUUGCUUAUUUUAAAAAAUGUCACAGAUUUCGUCUCACAAUACUGUGAUUUCAGGUGUCGUGUCCAUAUCUGAGUAUCUUUAAUUCCCGACCAAGUUUGGUUACUCUAAAGCUUACCAAUGAACUGCUAUGGACAGAUGAUUUUAGCCUUCGAUUUUGGGCCUUUGUCUUUGUCAAUCAUCUUUAUAUGUGCCUUUUGUGUUCUGGGAUUAACUGUUUUAUGCAAAUUCCCCCCUCUAUUUCCCGGGUCAUUCUCUUGUUAUUGUUGUUACUGAUAUGUGAUGUAAAGCUUUUAUUUUCAUAUAUCCCUUUGUUAUAUGCAGAUGAAUAGGGAGAGACUUAUGAAGAUGGCUGGUGCCGUUCGCACUGGUGGGAAGGGCAGCAUGAGAAGGUGGGAUGUGUAUUUCAACUUCUAACUAUCAAAUUUAUCUCAUACGAUAUGCCUAUAUCAAGUAUUUAUCAAUUGGGUACUAUUUAAAUUUUCUUAUGAGUGGUUUGGCUUUGGCUACAAUGAGUUUCUGGCAGUACUUGGUUGCAAAUAUUCUUUUAAAGCUUUGUUCUUUACCACAGAAAGAAGAAGGCCGUACACAAGACUACCACUACGGAUGAUAAAAGGCUUCAGAGUACACUGAAGAGAAUAGGAGUGAAUGCUAUUCCUGCAAUAGAGGAGGUCAACAUAUUUAAGGAUGACACAGUUAUUCAGUUUGUGAACCCCAAAGGUGAAGGCUGCUUAUGCUUAUGGAUUGAUUUAUUUACAUCUUAUAAGCUGCUCAUAGUAAACAAGCUUUAUAAUUUUUUUUUUUUAAAUUUCAGUUCAAGCAUCAAUUGCUGCCAAUACAUGGGUUGUUAGCGGCUCUCCGCAGACUAAGAGUAUGGCUCUAAUUCUCCCAUCACUUGUAGGCAUUACAUGACUUCUAUUUCCAAUACUUGGAUUUGCUAUGGUUUUGUUUUCAAAUGUCGCGCUUGUGGUUGUCGCUUGCCCUUGAGACUAAGAAGGUUGACAGUAUUAUGUGAAGAAUGACUGAAGAGGCCAAGAUGAAGUAACAAAAAUUAUAAAUAAGAAUGUUAUCAAAGGUGACGUUAAGACACUACUGAAUUGUUUAUGAAAUAAUAGAAAAGCUUAAAAAUUAUGAACUUCAGGAUAUUGUGUGCCUAUAGUUGAAUAAAGAUGCCUCAAAGGUGAAAGGAGCUAUGUUACUUGGACUCGUAUAUGGAUGUCAGAUAUGGGUGCAUAUCAUGGAGGUAUGGAUCUAAGUUUAGACAUAGGUGCUUCGAUAAGAUAUAUUAUGUAAAAUAAAUUAGAAUAAAAAAUAUAAAAUUACAUAGUGAUAAUUAUAGUUUAAAUAGAUUAUUAAAUACAACUAAAUAUAUCAUCCAAAAUACAAUUAAAGAAAUAUUUUUAUGCAAAUACAUAAACUUAAUCUUGAGAGAGAAGAAUGCUCCAUUAACUAUGCAUGAAUAUAUCACUCAAGCAUCUAAGUGCACGAAUAUGUGUUAGACAUCAUAGUUGUGAAAGGCUCAAGGUGCACCGAGGUGCAAAGGGGGUUUGGAGCCUAGACGCAAGGCGCAAGCCCGCGCCCGAGUAAUGUGAGGCACUAAAAAGAAAAAGAUAGAUAAAAAUCCAAAGAUUCAUUAACAUUCUAGUAAACAUAAACCAAAAUGUAAUAAAGUUAAAGUAAAAAACAUCAAAUGCUAACACUAACAAUUCUAUAAUCACUAUUCACAUUCACAUUUCUAUAACCACAAUCAUAAUGCAUCUUCAUAAUCACAAUUUCACUAUUCACAGAAUACAUUACUUGGUCUCUCUCUACAAUCAUAAUGGCACAAUUCACAAUACAUCAAGUACUUAAAGCACAAUUCUCACCUAAUUGAACACAAAUUCACAAGUAACAUACAGCUGAAAAAAAAAGAAACAGAAUAGCAAUAGCACAGAACAGAUGCAGCAACAGAUCUGGUCGACAGCAACAUUAGAAAGUGUUGAAUCCCACAUCGGUUGUGGAAAGGGGUAAUGUGCCUCUCAUAUGGGCUAUAGGCACUCCUCUCCCUUGAGCUAGCUUUUGGGGUGAGUUAGACCUGGCCCAAAUUUAACAUGGUAUCAGAGUCUCUCCAUCCGAUGUUGGGCCUCCUAUUAAUAUGUCAUGUACCAGUAAAAUUCUGGGCAUAUAAACAUGUUAUGUACCAAUAAAAUUCUGGGCGUGAGAGGCUGUGUUGAAUUCCACAUCGGUUGUGGAAAGGGGUAAUGUGCCCCUUAUAUGGGCCAUAGGCACUCUUCUCCCUUGAACUAGCUUUUGGGGUGAGUUAGGCCUGGCCUAAUUUUAACAGAAAGAAAAAAAUUGGGCGGCAUGCCUGCAGAAUUACAACCAUAGGGAGAAUAAAUGAGAACAGAAAGAGGAAAAUGAGAUGAGAAGGAAGAAAAAGAGAAAGAAGAAAAAGAGGAAGGAGGAUGAUAAACAAAAAAACAAAAAAAAGAAAUAGUUACUUGAGAUGGGAUUAAACAGGUAUGUAAAAUAUUAAUGAUUAUUCAUUAUUCCUCUUCUUUUUUUUUUUUCCUUUCUCUUUUUCUUUUUUCUUCUUUUUUCUCCUUAUGGCAUAUGCUGUCUUGAAAAUAAAAGAUCUAGGGCAAAAAAUUUGACACCUUAGAGAAAGGGUGCGUGGUACGGCGCAGGCCCAACUCUCCAACGCAUGCCUGAGUGCGCUUGGGCUACAGCGCCCGCCUGGGGUGGUGCAAGGCACUAGCCCUGGCGCUUGGUGCGCCUUGCGCCUCAAGCGCGCCUUUCACAACAGUGUUAGACAUAUAUCCCAUGUUUUAUCCCAUGAAGUGUCAUGUUGACAUGAGUAUCGCAUGGUAAAAUAAAGAGUCAAAGUAUCAAAGGAAAGGAGUCAUGGAGCUAGGCACGUAAGUGGUAAGAUGCACAGUUAAUAAAUUAAGACACCUUAUCUUGUAUAAUAGAACUGUUCAUAUUAAUAGCAUAAAAUAAUUGGAAUUCACCAUCUUUCCUUUUGACUAAAACAAACUACAUAAAACUUAAGUCUAAUUAACAAGCUACAUGCUUAUCAAUUCAUGCAAGUUGGUUUAAUGGGUAGCAGAUUCAUCAAAGAAAAAGGCAAAAGAAAACAAGAAAUGCGGGGUUUAGGAGGCAGCAUAGGAGAAUGAAGCAAAGGAAGUGAGGAAAGUUGCAGAAUAGAUGCGAGAAAGAAGGGAAAAAAGGGACCAAUUGAGGAACAGCUGUGGUAGAUUGAAGAAAAGGGAGUGAAUGAAAAUUACGAUAGCUAAGCUUAUAAAAGAAAAAGAUCCCAGAAAACAAAUCUUUUAUGCAUUUUUUUUUAUUUUAAUUAAUUGCUAUGCAUGAUGUGAUGGGUUAUAUAAUUUUAAUCUCCUCAAUUACUUUUACUAAGUCUUUGUGUUCCUCGAAUGUUAUCUUUUGUCCUGCCUUUUCCUUCCUUGUGCAGCCAUUCCUAUUUUCCUUUUUCCAGUUUUCUUCUUGAACUGGAGUCCCAUUGAAGUCUAUUAAGAUAUUCAAAUCCUAACCAAAAGUAAUUUGGCCCCUGUUUUUUCAUAUAUUUCCAAAAAUCCAUAAAUUAUAAUAACGUAUCUGAUUGCUUAAAUUGCAGAAAACAUAAUACCAAAUUACUUUUGAUGUCCCCAAUAUGAAAUCUAGACCAGAAUUCUAAAUUUCUCAGGUCUUCUGAAUGUUGAAAUUGCAGAAAUACAGUACCAAAAUGCUCUAUGAUGUCUCUAAUAUGAAAUCUAGACUGCAUUUGUUAAUUAACCAUUUCUCUUGCUCAGUCCCAUGUGUACAAUUGAGCUUACAUUGCAUGAGAACUAACGAGUUUUCAUUUUCUUUUUCUUCAGAAUUGCAAGAUAUUCUCCCUCAAGUACUAAGUCAUUUGGGUAUGCAAAUUCCAAUUUGCUACAUGGUAGUUUAGUUAAAUUUGGAGUUUGUAUUUGACCGUAUUCUACUAACUCGAUUUUAUUUUUUUAAAUCUGCUAAUGUAUAGGUCCUGAUAAUUUGGACAACUUGAAGAAGUUGGCGGAGCAGAUCCAGAAGCAGGUGCCUAGUGAUGGUGCUCCAGCAACUGCAGCACAAGAGGAUGAUGAUGAGGUCCCAGAGCUUGUAGCUGGGGAGACUUUUGAAGCUGCUGCAGAGGAGGGUAACGCUAACCCUGCUGCUUAGGAAAUAUAGACAGGGAGUUUGUGCUAUUUUAUAAUACACUUCCUACUUCUUUCUUUCUUUUUUUUAUUUUUUAUUUUUAAAAUUUGUCAAGUUCUUGCUUUUGUAGGUUAUAACUCGAUCAUUCAUCUUAUUUUCUAGAGAUACUGGAUGGUUCAGAUCGACUUUAUAGUUUCUGAGCAAUUUCUGAUUCGUGGUCAGUAUUUUACCAUUUUUAAUUGCAAUUUUUAAAUAGUUGUAGACCUCAAAUCUGUUGUUCUCCCCUCUCUAAGCCACCGAGACGUGUAGUAAUGCGGACAAAAGCAAAACAGAGCGUAAUAUGGUUGGAUUUGAGCUCAAAUUAGCCAUGAACUAGUGUCGUUCCUGUUUUAUUCUUUUUUUUCUUUUUUUUCUUUGCUAAAGAUGGAGUCCUGUAAUAAUGAAAUGUGGAUAUUGGCAUUAAAAAUUUAUAUCUUUGCUGUUUUUUUGCAUCUUAAUCCAAUUUUUUAUUUUUGACACAAUAAAUUUGAAUUUAAAAGCUUUUGACGAUUUACUUAUAGAUUUAGUCUGAUGACAAGUGUAUCAGAUUUAGUCGGAAGUGUAUUUGAUUAAAUUUGAAAGGUCUAGAUUUUACUCGACCAAUUUCUAAUCCCAUUUUCCAAAAAAAAAAACAGAUUUUAUCUAAUAUUUGAAUUUCAAAUUAUGGAACAGGUGCAGUAGUUUAUGUGUUAUAUGAUAUGUACUGUUUUAAUACUUUCUAUGGGAAUACGCAUUACACAUUGAAUAAUAAAAAUACACAUUACUUGCCACCAUAUAAUAAAAGUUACCUCACUGUAUAAUAAAACUAACUAAAAAUAAAAGUGUGCAAUUGAUUGGUAAAAUAAAGUACUUGUUUUUUAUAAUCACAUUACAAUUUGGUAUUGUUUAUAAUCAAAGCACUAAUGAAAUUUAAAAAUAAUGUAGAAUAUGAGAAUUAAUUUAUAGUUAGCAAUAAUGAAUCUAUAAAUAAAAAAAAAAGUGUAAUAGUAAUAAUUAAAUAUUCAAAAAAAGUCACAAAAUUUAUGAGAUUCAACUAAGAUAUUCAUUUCAAACUAACAAAUACUACAAAUCUACUUAAUUAUAUUAUAAUGAAAACUAUCAUUGAUGAACCAACUCAUAAAAUCUAGAUUUUAUGAUUUUGUGAAUGAACAUAUCAUUGAUAAACAGACUAAUUGUUGUACGCCAACAACCAUCAAAAGAAAAUCUCAAUAGCAAAGAAGGCAUUGACUUUGGCAUACUAACAACCAUUAGAUACGAAAUAGAAAUAGGGCAUUGUUAUAAACUAAUAGCCAUUGAAGGCGCAAUUUGACCACAUGUAAGGGUAUAAAGAUGAAAACAUCAUCUUCUUAGGGAAGAUUAAUAAGAAAAGAAUGUCGUUUUCUUAGAGAUAAGGGCAUUGUCUUUUCUAGAAUAUGUAAAUGUCGCUUUCAUCUUCUAUGAAAGCUACAAAAGAAAGAUACAAGCAAAAAAUAAGGAAGAAGAAGAAAAGUAAAAGAAUGGAAAAAGAAAAGGAAUGGGACGGCUAGUGAAUGAUAAUAAGAUGAAAAAUGAUUAAAAAAAAAUGUUUUAAUUGGUUAGGUUUAAGAGGAACGAAAUGGUGUGUGAUGUUCUGAGAUUCAGAAAAUAGGGUUUUACAGUGUGUGUAUUCUUGGAUGGAGAGGAAGGUUUUUCCCUCCUUUUAUUUCUUUUCUUUUGUCUGCUAAUGAUGUCUAAUGGCCUCUCUGCUAUAGUGUCACUUGUCUCUGUCAUGCAGGUCCGUACGUAUGGCCAAGCGGCCAUUUAAUUUCCCUCGGCUCACAUGCGGGCAGGGCUGCGAAAUGACUAAGCCUGCUAUCCUUCAUCACAUCACAUCACCGGGCUGGGUAUCUUCUCAUCAAACCUGGGCUCACGGACGACUGGCUUGCCCCAUGUGUCUGGGCCAAGACUUAAGAUGAUGGACCGGUUAACUAAAGAAGGCCCCAUGGGCUUUGGAUCAGCGCUGCUUUCUUGGGUCCGGCCUUGCCCAGGGGUGGUAAGGCCCGACGGUCAUCAAUUGCCCCUUUACCUUCUCAGCAGUUAUUGCAUGAUUGAUGAGGGGGUAAAUCUCUAGAACCCAUUAUGACCGCACGACCUGAGGACGGCUCCCAUCAAAACGUCUUUUCUUUGUCUUACUGUUUUCAAAAUUCAAAACCCCAAAUUUUCACAAAACUCUUCUUCUCCUUUUGCUCUUUGUGUGCUCGAUCUCUCUCGUUUUCCUGCAAAAUUGUCUUCAAGGUACGUCUUUUGCUUUGCAAUGGAUAGUCUUAGGCUUUCUGAUGUCAUGAAUCUAGAGUCUAACAUCACCCCUUCUUCCCUGGCAACCUUCUUUUCUCGGGAGUACUUGGAUACCCCUUUUUCGUAUUAGGGCUCCUUACCGCAACGAGAAGAUCGUUCUUCCCGAUCCUUCUCCCUCUGGUCUCAUUGACCCCAGAGGGACCGUAGCCUAGUUUUUUUUUAUUAAACAAUGAGAGUUUGGCUUGACCUUCCAUUUCUCCCUUUUUUUGUUGAGGUCUUCCGAUACUUUGAGAUAACUCCUCACAUGCUUACCCCCAACUCGAUUUUUUUCAUGUGCUCCUUCAAAUCUGUCAGUCUAAGUUGGGGUUUCACUCCUACAACUCGUUUAUUUUCCAUCUUCUUUCGCCUGGUCUGAGCUAGUUAGGGUUUCUAUUACUUUGCUCUGCGAGGAGGAUUGUCUAUUUUUUUCGGGUCAUAAAGACUCCAUCAAGGGUUGGGCAGAGGAAUUUGCUGUGGUAGAGUUGAAGGGAGGCCCCGAGUUGUCAUGGCAGAUCGAUCUCCCCUAAAGGAAUGUGUCCCCGUACUGCAACGACCUUCCUAAACUAAAUAGCUUAGUUGACUCUUGAUGUUGCUGUCACAUACUCCACUUUAGCUGUGGACUGAGCAACCACACUGUAUUUUCUUGAAUUUCUCCAAAUCAUACUUGGUCCUACUGUAAAAAAAAAAAAUCACUUCUGCUCUUCAUAUUAUCUAAGGACCCUAUCCAAUCACUGUCAACAUAUCCUUCCAAUUUCAUGUAUUUUUCCUUCUAUACAUAAUUCCAAGGCCGUUGUUCCUUUAAUAUAUCUUAAUACCCAUUUUGCAGCUUUGAAGUGAAUUUCACUUAGACAUAAAUCUUGAAAGCAAACUUCCUGCAAGCAUCAUAUAUAGUCUUGUUGUUAUUAAGUAAAACAAACAACCAAUUAGACUUCUAUAUACAACUUCACCUACCUUAGUUGCACUAUCUAUUUUACUCAAUUUCUAUUUGGAGCUAAAGGAGUGCUGACAAUUUUUGCAUUAAGCAUACCAAACUUCUUAGGAAAUAAUUUUGCUAAUUUAUUUUAUUAGGAAAUAAUUCUCGAAUUUAAUAUUGGAGCCGAUUAUAAACAAUUGAAACUAAAAAUGUUACUAUGUAAUUUUUAUAAUUCAGUGAAUUUAAUUAUUUAGUUCCUUAUUUUUUAAAAUAUAAUAAUUAAUCUAUAUCUUUUUAAAUUAUUAAUUAUUUAGUUUUUAUCAUUUCUUCGAAUUACUAAAUAACUAUGUUUUUGAAAGUAUAGGAGCUUAAUAGUAAUAGUUUUAAAAUUCUAAAGACUGAAUCAUUCUAUUUUAGAAUUACGAAGAUGAAAAAGGAUAAUAAUACUAUAGUCAUUUAACGCAUUACUAACUAGUUGGAUAAAUGGAAAGACCAAUGCUUAACCCACUAAUGUGUUCUGGAAAAAAGAGGGAUCAAAUAAUUAGUUUUAUUUAACUACAGGGAGCAAAUAGUAAUUGUUGUUAUGAACAAACUAUUUUUCUGAACGACAGAGUUUUAACGGAAAACAACAUCGUUUCGAUUUUGGGUGUUACAGACUAACCCUAAAAUACAUGUCCCGAUGUGCAGCUGCUCUUUUUCCCUUUCUUUCUCGGCUCUACCCUCGACCCGUUUUCUAUUUGUCCCCCAACUCAUCUCUUAUCCUCCUUCGAGCUCAGACGACUGUCUUGUCCUCUCUCACUUGCAUUCUCGAAGGUGAGACUUGCUAAUUUUAAAAAAAUCUCACAGAUUUCUUCUCACAAUACUGUGAUUUCAGGUGUCAUGUCCAUAUCUGAGUAUCUUUAAUUCCCGACCAAGUUUGGGUACUCUAAAGCAUACCAAUGAACUGCUAUGGACAGAUGAUUUUAGCCUUCGAUUUUGGGCCUUUGUCUUUGUCAAUCAGCUUUAUAUGCGCCUUUUGUGUUCUGGGAUUAACUGUUUUAUGCAAAUUCCCCCCUCUAUUUCCCGGGUCAUUCUCUUGUUAUUGUUGUUACUGAUAUGUGAUGUGAGGCUUUUAUUAUCAUAUAUCCCUUUGUUAU
rnacentral:lncRNA from 1 species